CUGAACCUGGACCAACGAGAGGUCAGAGGUCACAGUCUGCAGGAUCCAGCCGUCCGUCUCUGAGGAGUGACCGGUCCAGAGGUGACCCUCCAAACUUUGGUGAUGAACCUGGACCAACGAGAAACCUCUGGAUCUGGAUCUUCUGGAGUGUUGAACUAAUCCUUCAUGGUUCCUCCACAGAGUGGACCAGCAGAGCUCAGAGGUUCCCAGUGGUCAGUCUGCCCAGCAGCAUCAAACACAGCUGGACUCCAU